CGGUGGAGAAUCUGUUUUAUUCGGUGGUAGUUUGCUUUGAUGAUUUCGUGACCGCGCCUUUUAUCUCUCAGACUAUAGGAGAAUGAGAUGUCGAUAAGCAUUCUCAUUACCGCUUGCACCAUUUUUCAGUAUUCCGACUGCAUGCAUGAGGUUUGAAUUUUUAGUUUUCCUGGAUCUGCCAAGUUUUUUUUUUUUGUGUUGCGAAUUGAAAUAGUAUGUCUUUUUUUUGUGUUGCGAAUUGAAAUAGUAUGUCUCUUGCUUUCUGCUUUGGUUCGUGGCUUUGUGAUGGCUGUUGUGGCUGCUUGUUGAAAAUUGAUUGUGGUGUGUCAGCCACCGGAGGAUCUGGGACAGUUGGCAGGUGGUGGAAGAGUAUAUAUGGG
rnacentral:lncRNA from 1 species